rfam:Biomphalaria glabrata isolate BB02 unplaced genomic scaffold LGTN_random_Scaffold599, whole genome shotgun sequence.
UGGCUGAGCGGUAAAGCUCUUGGCUUUCAAACCGGGUGUUCCGGGUUCGAAUCCUGG